GUUGAGAGCGAAUGAUUACAUGCUGCUACCUGCAACUCAAAUGUUUACUUCUGAUUUUUGUUACCUAUUCUUAUACUGCUACAGACAUAUAUAUGUUUGUUAAAUUCUUACUUGAAGCGUUGUAAAGAAGUAGCAGUUCCAUGCGGCAACAAAUACUUAUGUAUAUUGGUAGAGAUAGAAUGCCAAUAAAAGUUCUGUAAAAAGGAAACUUCUAAUUAAUGAAUGCUAUGAAAUAAGUUGGUAAAAUAAAUCAGUUGGAAUCAAAGAUUUGUCCAAGGAACUUCACAUAAGGUACAUUUCGCAACUAUAGCGCAUCAGUUAAGCUGGAACUCCAUAGGAAAGCGGGAUCCGUUGACAUGCGUUAACGUGCGUAAAAACAGCAAAUCCACAGUGUACGCUUAAACUGAAGUCAGGUAAAACCAUGAUAAAAACAUU